rnacentral:rRNA from 1 species
AAUUCGAAGCAACGCGAAGAACCUUAUCAAGUCUUGACAUCCUUUGACCACCCUAGAGAUAGGGCUUUCCCUUCGGGGACAAAGUGACAGGUGGUGCAUGGUUGUCGUCAGCUCGUGUCGUGAGAUGUUGGGUUAAGUCCCGCAACGAGCGCAACCCUUGAUCUUAGUUGCCAGCAUUCAGUUGGGCACUCUAAGGUGACUGCCGGUGACAAACCGGAGGAAGGUGGGGAUGACGUCAAAUCAUCAUGCCCCUUAUGACCUGGGCUACACACGUGCUACAAUGGAUGGUACAAAGGGCAGCAAAACCGCGAGGUCGAGCAAAUCUCAUAAAACCAUUCUCAGUUCGGAUUGUAGGCUGCAACUCGCCUACAUGAA